CGUACGUACUUCGUUUCUUUGGUAGAACCUUGAAUAAUAUUAAAGUCAACAGUUCUAGACAGAUUUGUAUUAAUGUAAAGUUUCAAACUUAUCCCUACUUAUGAUCUUGGUGUCAAAAGUUGCAUCCAUAAAGCUAUCUUCCCUUCUCUUUUACUUAAAUAUUUUUAAUUCAUUUUUUUAAUCUCUUAUUGAUUAGCUCCUUCAUCUUCUACCCAGAUUAAUUAUAUUAUUUUUGUAUGCAAGGGCUUUACAGGGAAACUAAAAUGAAGUUGGUGCAAGGUGUGCAAACGGUGGGUGGUAGGAAGGUUUGGGAAGCAGUGGUUGGAUAUCCAGGGAAACUUUAGGUAACCAUUUGCUUUCAGGACACAAAAGAUCAUUGUAGGCUAGGCUCCUAACUACAGGUGAACUGUAGUAAACUAAAGCUACCGCAGCAUAUAAAACUGAUGAAGUGUUUGCUCUCAGAUAUUCACUUUCUUUGAAGUCUGAACCUGAACGUAACCAUAACCCAACUAAAAGAAACACAACUCCAAAUCCAUUUCAUCUCCACUCAGAGGAAAGAGGUGCCGAGAAAGAGAAGAAAUUGAUCAUGGAACUUCUGCACAAAGAGUUGGAGGAGGAAAUAGCAAGGAUUCCCAAGGCUAAUCCUUACCCUUACACCACCGAUUAUCUUGUGAUCCCACCAAAACCAUGAUAGUUAGAAAUUUGAUUAACUGGUUGAAUACCCAAAUUUAUAUAAAGGUCCAAAUUAAUUGGUUGAGCACGAUACCACGCCUUACGUAUCUUUUCCAUCAACCUUGUUUUCCUUCAUUCUCCUGUUGCUUUUUAGUGCUGGUUUGGUAUCAUUCUGAGAGCAGGAAGCACUUCAACCCCAAGUUUGAAAAAUGUUUAUUACUGGUUUUUUCUUCUUGUUAUAUUAAUAUAUGUUUUGGUUUUGAAGGCGCUUUGUUCAUGUUGCAUCUUAGUCUCUCCUGUACUAUUAAGGUUUACUGUUAAAUUCUGUUGUUGCCUUGUUAAAGUUAAAAACAUAAAAGAAAGAUGAAUUUUAUGCGUGAAAAGUUUCCUAUAAUAUUGGAAAGAUGUGC